rnacentral:ncRNA from 1 species
GUUCCGAGGGGUGCGCCCGAAUGGCGCUGAGAUGCCCUGGGAGCGUGGCGCCGGUCGCGGGCCGUGAGGCCGUUGGACGGUGCCCGUGUCUCCUGGGUGAACCCUUAGAACCUGAUCCGGGUCAUACCGGCGAAGGGACUGGG